UGUUUCGGCUAGGGGGCCAUCCCGGCUUACCAACCCGAUGCAAACUGCGAAUACCGGAGAAUGUUAUCACGGGAGACACACGGCGGGUGCUAACGUCCGUCGUGAAGAGGGAAACAACCCAGACCGCCAGCUAAGGUCCCAAAGUCAUGGUUAAGUGGGAAACGAUGUGGGAAGGCCCAGACAGCCAGGAUGUUGGCUUAGAAGCAGCCAUCAUUUAAAGAAAGCGUAAUAGCUCACUGGUCGAGUCGGCCUGCGCGGAAGAUGUAACGGGGCUAAACCAUGCACCGAAGCUGCGGCAGCGACGCUGAUGCGUUGUUGGGUAGGGGAGCGUUCUGUAAGCCUGCGAAGGUGGCCUGUGAGGG
rnacentral:rRNA from 1 species